UGAAAAGUGUGGGAGGGAGCGUUCGGACGACAGCUACUUCCGCCCCGCACGCACAGGCUUCCUCCGGCCAUCUUUGUGAGGGGCGGAUGUAGGCAACUGCUUGGGAGGGAGGGACAGGGCCACAUGUUCUGCCCAGCUCAAGCCUAGUUUGAAAGCUACACGUCUGCAGCAGCAGCAGAGUGCCCUGUGCCAGCCCCCGCAGAUGGGACAGAAUCACUCUGAACUGAGAUUGCUAGUGGCUGCAGCCUGCUUAAGGAAACGCAAAUCCUCUCCCGCUUUUCUGGAAAAUGAUGGAAAAUGAAGUGUUUGCAUCGUUUACUUUCUACAGCACAAUCUUGAUUAUAAAAAUGUAUGUUCUUGCCAUCAUUACAGGACAAGUGAGGCUCAGAAAGAAGGCUUUCGCCAAUCCAGAGGACGCCCUGAGGAACGGAGGGCUGCAGUACUGUCGAGAGGACCCAGACGUGGAGCGAUGCCGCAGGGCCCAUCGCAAUGACAUGGAGAACAUUUUCCCCUUCCUCUUCCUUGGGGCCAUCUACUCCCUGCUGGACCCCAAUCCCAUCGUGGCAAGGAUCCACUUCCUGAUCUUCUGCGUGGGACGGAUAGUUCACACCGUGGCAUACCUUCUGCGGCUGAAAGCUCCCACCCGCUCGGUGGCCUACAGCGUGGCACAGCUGCCCUGCUUCUCCAUGGCGCUGCAGAUUCUCUUCGCGGUCAUCACACACUGGUAACGUUAAAGAUAACCCGCCGCUGCUGGUGCUGCAACGUGGAUUGGAAAGACACGUCUUUGCUGCUUUCCCAAGAGAAGGACUCAUUCUGCUGCGGCUUCAGUGUCGGCAUCUCCCAGCUGGGCAGAGCUCAGGGCUCUGGGAAAUCCCCUCUGGGUGUGUGCAAGACCCCAUUUCCAGGAGCAGGCUGCGGAGGUGGAAGGAUGUGCUCCUCGCAGCUGGGGGCUCCUGCAUUAAGUUCUCAGUAACGCCACAGCAUUAGUACCACAGCAAUAGCAUUGUGGUGUCUUCCAAUCUUCUCGCUGGUGACCUUGGUGGGGAGGGUUCUUGGGGGGGCAAGGAGGGAAUGACGCCAAGUUGAGAACACAACUAAACCAGGAAGUGGUGAAGACUCUCUAAGUAGCCUGGCCCCAUCACUAUGGGGAGAGAAAAGCGGGAGACACUUGGUCCCCCUAACUCACUUGGAUGGGAGUGUGUAUGGUGAAGAGAUAUGAUGUCCCAUCUCCUCUCUUCGGAAAGAAUACCUGGUGAUGUAGCGAAAAAGCUAAAGUAGGAACAAACUGAGUCUUUGUAUUAAACAAACCUCUGCUCCCAAAACCUCAUUUUUACUCUUUGAUUAGAGAGCCCUGACUCUCUUUUUGUUUGUUUGGUGGUUGUUGUUGUUGUUUAAUCCCCUACACGGGAAGGAAACAAGUUGGUGGUGCAGCAUCUGAUACUGCCGGGCAAAUGUCUGCUAGGACACAGAACCCAAAGGGUUAAAUCUUUCAGUGGGUGGCAGUAAAAACACAGAGGGAAUCAGAACUCGUGCAGGUCCCCCUUCCAAACCCAAAUUACAUCAUCAAUCCAAAGAGGCAGCUCUCCUCUAGGCCCCUGAGAUCAGGAUUUCACUUGACUGUGAACUCCAGAGCAGACAGCUCCAUUUGCUUUUGGAGUGAGAAGGGGGAGUUGGCUCCGGGCACAUCAGGCCAUCUCGAGGCUCCAUUCUGGAAAGAGCAGUGAGCUGAAAAGGAGAUUGGGGUGCUCAGCACGGAUCUGGGCCUUUUCUAUUUCCUACAGGUACCUAGAUGUUCUGUCAUUUCUACAUAGCUUCAUGUGAGGUGCAGGGCUGAAUGGAAGACCGCAAACCUAUGUAUGUUACACUGUUCCCCUCUUGUGCUUCCUUGGCGUUAUGAAGUAUAUAGUCAUCGUAAAAUGACUAGUAUGUGUUCCUCUUCUCUACCAUUCCUUAUGCCUCUCUGUAUACAUCUGUGAACCAGGCAGAAUACCACCUCGUGCCUCUGUUCGGAGGCAAAGUCCUUUGACCUGCUUGGAUAAAAAGGGCUGUUAAAGCAUGUAACACACAGAGGCAGAAGCAGCGCUUUCCUGGGUGACCUCUUGGCCCCUCCUAACUUUCCCCUGGUAGAAGGUUGCCUUCUUAAAGGAGCUCUCUUCCCACCAUGCCUUGCUGGAGCUGGCCCUUUAAAUUUGGCAGAGCCAAGGAGCUGCAGCCCUAAAGCAGCCAUGUUUGGUGAGUGGCUGCAUCUCCUGCCUUCCUUCCUAGCUGGACACGUGAUGUGCCCCAGGCUGUGUGGCUGCUGGGAGAAGAGGAAACAGCAACGGUGUUGCUGGCUUCAGUCUGGCUCAUGUGAGCAGAGGCAGCUGGCCACGUGAGUGACUCCAGCCCGCCCAUCACACUGCCUGAGCAGCGAGGGAUGCUGUGACGCUGCGGUGGUGGUGGACAGGGAAGCACUUAGGAAGCCCAACCGACCGUGGCGCAGUCCAAGCAAGUCCUGGGCAUGCAAAAUGCGGGCCAAGGACUAGAUGGUCCCAACAUUGCAAUGGGCUCUGGUGUUUCUGACCUCCUAGCUGCUGGGUCAGCGUAACCCACCCCUGGAACUCGAAACACAGCGAGGGGCUCUGAGAAUAGAUUCUGAGGUAGCAGGAGUCGGCUGGCUCUCCCUUCCGAAGUUCAGAGCAGACGCAUUAGCCUUGCACGGCCCCUGAUUGACCUUUGGGAAGGUGAGACAAGGCAAGAAUGACCUAUGAGAAUGGCGGGAAGGGGCCUAGGAUUGAGCCAGCUCAUGUGUCUUAUCCAUACGAUGGAAGGACAGAGCUAGUGCUCUGCCUUGGGGACAGUGCACCAUGAGACUGGCUUUCCCUCUAAGGCUUCGUCUGUUCUAGCCUACGUUCCUGGGACUCCGAAGAGGAGUGAUUGUAAGGCCAUUGUGGCUCCCAGAGAGUGCGCUUGAGUGUCUAUGCUUAGUUACAGCCUGUCCACCACUUGCAGAGAUGCUUAGGAGUCACUUGUGCUUCCCCAGGACAACAGAGAGUGAACACGGUGCUCCAGGAAAGAGAAGGGCUGGGAACGCUGGUUAAAACCACAAGCAGUGUAGGCAAAUUUCCACUAGGCAUGACUCUACCCCAAAGCCCCUGAGACCCGAUGUGCAACAUCCUCUGCGAUUCCAGACCUGCUCCUCCUCACAGCUCUGCCAAUUCACCUUGACUUCAAAAGGCCAGAAGGGACCAUGAGAUCAUCUUAUCUGAGAACCAGAUUCACCAGAGGUGGGAUUCAAACCCAGAUGUGCAGAGCACAUUGGAUUAGCAGGCCAUUGCUGCUCCGUCACCUCAUCUCAUUAUUCACUACUUUGCUACCUGCAGGACCUUCUGCUCAGCCAGGCCUGGGAGACUGCCAUGUGUGCCGAUGAGACCAAAGAUCCACUGGAGACUCCCAACUAUAUUUUAUUUGUGUUUGGUGACCUCGUUCACCUUUGAACCUGGCUCUCCAGAGUGAAAGGCAUUAAGGAAUGUGAUAAUUCUCUCUCCCACUGUACUACCAAGGUCCCAAAGCCUUGAAUGUUUUACU